GACGAACGCUGGCGGCGUGCCUAAUACAUGCAAGUCGAACGAACCGCGACUGAGUGCUUGCACUUGGUCAAGGUGAGUGGCGAACGGGUGAGUAACACGUGGGUAACCUACCUCAUAGUGGGGGAUAACAGUCGGAAACGACUGCUAAUACCGCAUAGGACAUAGGAUCACAUGAUCCAGUGAGGAAAGGUGGCGCAAGCUAUCGCUAAGAGAUGGACCCGCGGUGCAUUAGCUAGUUGGUAGGGUAAAGGCCUACCAAGGCGAUGAUGCAUAGCCGACCUGAGAGGGUGAUCGGCCACAUUGGGACUGAGACACGGACCAAACUCCUACGGGAGGCAGCAGUAGGGAAUCUUACGCAAUGGACGCAAGUCUGACGGAGCAACGCCGCGUGAGUGAAGAAGGUCUUCGGAUCGUAAAGCUCUGUUGUUAGAGAAGAACAGCGCAUAGAGUAACUGCUAUGCGUGUGACGGUAUCUAACCAGAAAGCCACGGCUAACUACGUG
rnacentral:rRNA from 1 species